GUUUAUAGGUACACGUUCAGAGUCUAUGCCAAUCUGAUCCCCAUAAGAUC
rnacentral:sRNA from 1 species